AAAUACUCCUAUUUUCAGUCUGCGGGUACAGCCCUUUACCCGUAUGCAAUGGCUCACCACCUAGCCAUAAUCCAUGACACAUAUUCCAAUUAAAUUGUGUCUGACAGUCAUAAACUAUUUCAGGCUCGAUAUAUAUAUGAUAUGAAAUGAAAAAUACACGGGUAGUCAUUUAGACCCGGUAGUGGCCUAAGUCGAUUUUUCAUCCGAUAAAUUGGCCAAUGCGUCCAAUUUCACUCCAAAUUAAUCCAUUUCUCCUCUAAUACCUUAAUUUACCACAUACCAUUUAAAUAAAGCCAAAUUCAGCAUUAGAACCCUCACAGUUCCUUAUAGAAAAAUUCGGUCAUUUGGUGCACUAGCACCAAAAAUUUUUCUACAUAACCGUUUCACCUUAAUUCAUCAUUUUCCAAGCCAUUUUCCUUGAAACAAAAACAAGCCCCCAUUGAUAUUCAGCCCUCAUGGUUCGACCAACAAGGAACCCUAGAGAAAUUAAAUAUUUCUUUUGUGUUUUUGUUCAUAACCAUGCUUAACUAUCCCUAAACACUAACAUAGUCUAAAAUCAAAUUAUUCCAACAACAAUUCCUCUUUCAUACCCAUUUUUUAGAAUUGAAUUCAUCAUGAUAACUCAAUAUUCAACCAUGAAAAUCAAGAACAAAAGCAUGGGUAAGCUAGGUGUCAAGGAGAAUUAAAGAAAUUUUAACUUACCUAGCUUGUUUCCUUGAAUUUCAACACUUUCUCUUUGAUUUUUCCUACCUAAGGCUUGUUCUUCCUUGGUUUCUCUUCUCUUCUGGUUUGGCUGAUCACUAUAGGAGAAAUGGGCUGAUUUUUAUGCCUUUUAUAAAGAAAAUAAUGAAUGGAUGAGAUUUUGACACAUGUCACCAUUCCAUUGGUCCAUGUGUCAUACUUAGCCAUUAAGCAAUCUCUCUCCACCACACAUUUCUCAUG
rnacentral:lncRNA from 1 species